rnacentral:rRNA from 1 species
GACGAACGCUGGCGGCGUGCUUAACACAUGCAAGUCGAACGGAAAGGCCUGCUUUCCCUUGUGGUUUGCGGGUACUCGAGUGGCGAACGGGUGAGUAACACGUGAGUGAUCUGCCCCCAACUUGGGUAUAAGCCUGGGAAACUGGGUCUAAUUCCCGAUAGGACUGCAGGGUGGUGCCUGUGGUGGAAAACGUUUUUCUAGUGGUUGGGGAUGAGCUCGCGGCCUAUCAGCUUGUUGGUGGGGUAAUGGCCUACCAAGGCGGCGACGGGUAGCCGGCCUGGGAGGGUGGACAGCGACAUUGGGACUGAGAUACGGCCCAGACUCGAACGGGAAGCAGCAGUGGGGAAGAUUGCACAAUGGGCGGAAGCCAGAAGCAGCGACGCCGAGUGGGGGAUGACGGCCUUCGGGUUGUAAGCUCCUUUCGACCGCGAGGAAGCCACCUGGUUGGAGGGGUGGUGACGGUAGUGGUAGAAGAAGCACCGGCUAACUACGUG